rnacentral:rRNA from 1 species
UACAGAGGUCCCAAGCGUUGUUCGGAUUCACUGGGCUUAAAGGGUGCGUAGGUGGUUGUGCAAGUCUGAUGUGAAAUCUCCGGGCUCAACCCGGAAAUGGCAUUGGAAACUGCAUGGCUAGAGGGUUGGAGGGGGGACUGGAAUACUUGGUGUAGCAGUGAAAUGCGUAGAUAUCACGUGGAACACCAGUGGCGAAGGCGAGUCCCUGGACAACAACUGACACUGAGGCACGAAAGCUAGGGGAGCAAACAGG